rnacentral:lncRNA from 1 species
UGCUUACCUUAAUUUGUUGUCAGAAUAAAAUGAGUGUAUGUGAAAUUCUUACAACCUACAUACAUGUCAGCAAGAAUUAUUUUUAGCCCAAGUUUACAUAGUUUUCAGUGUUUAGUUAAAUAGACUGAUUAGCUGAUUAUGUCGUGGUUCAAGAAGAAAUAAGAUAUGACCUCAAACAUAUGGGAAUUGUGUACACAGAGAGACACACAGAUUAAUCUUAUUUUGAAUGUGAAAUCUUAAAUAUAUUAAAUGAACUAAAAUUAAUGAGACUUCAAUAGUUGACAGUCCUUAGAGAAACUGAGAUCACCUUAUUUUUGGUUAGUAAAAGCUAAACUUUCAUAUUUCUGUCUUGAAGAGCAUUGAAGAGGGCAUUUGUCAAUGUUAUUUAAUAUCAUUCUGGGAAAAUGAAACAACAUCCAUCAUUUCCUUUUGACUGCGGUUAAAGCAUUGAGUGAAAAAGUAUGGACACAUGAGCACAACAUGUCUACUCCAAAAUCUAGGCUCAUAAAACAGACUAUAAGUAACUAAUGGAAACAUUGGAAAUCUAUAAAUUUUUUUCAUUUAAAAAUCUCUCCAUGUGCACUAUGGGUUUUUAAGGCUCCAGAAAAUAUAUGCAUUUCCAUGAUGACAUAUGCUAUUCAGAAAGUUGAAUUUCGCAAAAGAUUAUGAGUUAGAAACAUACUUCUCUAGCAAGGCAGACUAUUGAUCUAGGUUCUGUCAGAGGAUGAGUCCAAGUGUGUGUGCACUAUAAUAAAUCAUAUUAAUACUUGAUGGAUGUGUUCAUAUGUACUUUUUGUACUUUUUGUUUUCAUCAGAUUCUAAGAUAUCAUGGCUUUAAAUGGUUAAGGACAACUAUCAGAAAAGGCAUUUUUACAAUUGUAUGCAGGUAAAUGAAAUUAUUUACCAUGAUUCUUUUUCUUUUGCCUUCAUUUCUUCAGAUCUCUGAUAUCCUUCAGCAGUCCCUUUCACAUUCAGAACUUCAGUAUCAUUUCACUGUGAGGAAUUCACAAAUCUCUCUCUCUGUGGUCUUCUUUUAAGUAUCUAGUGGACUAACAUCUAGUGAGUAAACAUCACUAACUGGAUGGAUUGGACUCAAUUGUUCUAAUGCUCUAUAACUCAUCUUCUUUUUCAGGCAUGCAUUCCUCAUUCUUAUUAAUAGCAAAACUCCUAAAUAAUUUAUCAUGGUAUUUUUCACAUACUUAUUGAAAUAAAAAGUCUUUCUUUAGUUGUGAUAAUUGUCCUUUUGUCACAAAUAAAAUGAGAUGAAGGCAUAAAGAUGACUUUUUUAAUCAUAAUAAAGUUACUUUAUUGGAUUUGUCAGGAUGGCUAAAUUGAGACAAAUUCAAAUUUCAAGGUUGGGUGUUUUAUUCACAAAAGAAAUGCACUUUGUUGCAUAUUUUCUUAAGGAAUUCAAGCAAUAAAGGGAUGAAUAAGGAGCAAACAGAAUGGAUUAUUUAAUUGAAAUAAGGGUUAGUUUACAUACUUGUCUGGAAGUGCUGUAUCAGUUAGCUCUUGCCACAUAACAAAACAGGUAAAACUUAGCAGUCUUUUUUUUCUUUUUCUUUCAAGUCUGUAAAUUGGUUGGUGGUUUCUGUUCAUCUUCUCCAGUUGUGGGUGGGAAAUGGGCUUGCUCACACACCUGUGGUCACCUGGCCAGUCAGCUAAGAGUUGAUUGGUCUAGGAUGGUGUUGUCUGGGAUCUUCUCCAUGUGCUUUCCGGUCCUGUAGUAGUCUAACCCAGAUAUCAUCUUAUGGCCUUAGCAGGUAUCCAAAAUAAGUAUAAAUGUUCAAAUCCUUUGUGAAGCUACUGCUGGUAUCAAAUUUUCUUAUUGCUGAAUUGACCAGGACAAUUAAAUUGUCCCAGAUUCUGUGCAGUAGUACUCUACUGAAGGGCAAGGAUGCAGACAGGGCAUUAGUUGGCGCCAUCAUCAAUGCAAUUAAACUAGUACACCUCAAGUUGUGGUACUAGUUGUAACAGAGGACUCCAAAUCUCAAAGAACUGAGGUACUUGACAGAGGUUUAUCUUUCCACUGUUGUCUUUUUUUUUUUUGUUUUUUGGUUUUUCUUUUUGUCUUUUUGCCAUUUCUUGGGCCGCUCCUGCGGCAUAUGGAGGUUCCCAGGCUGGGAGUCAGAUUGGAGCCAUAGCCGCCAGCCUGUGCCAGAGUCAUGGCAACGCGGGAUCCAAGCCACGUCUGCAACCUACACCACAGCUCACGGCAAGGCCGGAUCCUCAACCCACUGAGCAAGGCCAGGGACCGAACCUGCAACCUCAUGGUUCCUAGUUGGAUUCGUUAACCACUGAGCCACGACAGGAACUCCAUAUGCAACAUUGUUUUUAAAAGAGAAUCAUUGGGAACAAAUCUAAAUUUCCAUCCCGAUGGUACUGGUUAACUGAAUUAUGAUACAUCUACUUUAUUAGAUCUGUUUAGUGAUAAAAAUUAAUUAGGAAAAAAAGAUGCUGCUAUGCAAAUAUGUGUGAAAUAUAUAUUUUAGCAAGAUACAUAAAAUGAUGAAGAAUGUGUCAUCCCUGGCAUGAGAAAGGAAAAGAAAAAGAAUAUACCUAUGUAAACAUAUUUGCAUGGAGGUUUCUUUUGUGUUCAUAAGCUUCUAAAAGUAUAAACAAAAAGGGAAAAGAGUAGUAUGGGAGUUAGUUGGAAGAAAAGUAGGAGUCAAAGGAAAUUUUUUCAGAGAAUAUCAUUUCAUGCUUUCGGAAGUUUGGACUACAUAGUUCUAUUAGUUUGUGAUAAGUAAAUAAAUAAAAUAAGAAUCAUAAAAAGGGAAAACAAAAGAAAUGGAUUGUCAUCAGAUAUCUGUAUUCUACCCCUGACCUACCUCUUAAUGGUAAGAGCUCAAUCAAUUUACAUAAACUUUUGUAAGGUUUUUCUCUCUACAAGUAAAGGAUAAUAAAAACUUCCCCAAUAUAAUUGUUGUGAAUUUAAAUGGAAGAAUCCAUGUAGUGCACUUAGCUAGUAUUUGACACAUAGUACCUGUUUAAUCAGUUCAAUAUUGUUGUUGCUAUGAUUGUUCAUUUCAUUAUUUAAUUGUAAGAAAUAAACUGAAGUAGCUAAAUUACACAUCAAGUUGGAUUUCUACUGAGAAUGUUUUUCUGGGUUGCUCCUCCUCCUUUUCUUUUUCUUUUUUCUUUUUGGCCACUCCUCACGGCAUAUGGAAAUUCCUGGGCAAAUCGGGCUGUGACCUACACGGAAACUGCGGACUUGGCAACAUCAGAUCCUUAAUCCUUAACCCACAGCACCACCACAGAUACAAGCCAGUCAUUAACUCACUGUGCCACAGCAGAAAUUCCUAUUCUGUCUUACUUCUCACUCUGUUUUAAUACCUUGCUGAGAAUCAAUUAAUAUGGCAUAUACAGGAGUUCCCUUGUGGCACAAUGGGUUAAGGAUCCCACAUUGUCAUCGUCACUGCAGCAGCUUGGGUCGUUGCUGAGGCAGGGGUUUGAUCCCUAGUUCAGGAACUAUGCGCUGUGGGUGCAGCCAAAAAAAAAAAAAUAAUAUGGUGUACAUGCAGUAUACUGUAACCAUAUUCUUUAAUAUGUUAGAAUUUUCACUAAUUCCUUCUGUAUGUCAGUUGCAUGAAACAAAAGAAUUCUAGAAUUUCUUCUUGCAGAAAAAUCAUUGUGAUGAUAAGUUUUUUAGUGGAGGGAGUUUGAGCUUUUUGUUUGUUUCUUGUUUGUUUUUGGAUCUCAGUAGCUUCACAUGUUGCAAAUGAUAGAUAAUAUCAUGGUGUCCUUCACUGAAAAGACAUCUUUAACUUUUUACUGAAACAGGUACAUCAAAUUUUAUUUGACAUCUUGCGCUUUGAGAAUCUUGUUUAUUAGUCUAGCGAGUCUGUUGUUGUCUGUCUUAAAUAGCAGAAGUAUAUUUUGUCUCUAGUCAAAAAAUUGAACAUAGAUUGAGCUUUAAAUGACAUCAAUAAAUUAAUGUUAAUUUUGUGGCUUAGGAAAUUAUCCAUAGUUUCAGAGAUGCCUACCAGAGUUUUAUCAAGGAGGGGUAGUGAUUAGGAUUUGCUUAUACUACAUAAACUCAGACUUAAAACCAAAAAAAUAAGUGUUGUAAAUGUUUUAUAAUUGUUGGAUCUGAGUGACAUAUUUUGUAAUUUUAGAAUAUUUAAAAUUUUUCAUGAUGGCUUUUUUUUUUAAUCUAGGGAAAUUCUGUAUUCAGAUUAUUUCACAUAUAUCACCCGCAUUCAACCUUCAAAAAAACUCAAACUUUUACCCAAUGUUUCAGGGGCGUGAUUUAUGCAAGAAAGCCAUCUUUAGUACUCCAAUGAUAAGAAUCCACUGGAAGGAAAAGCCUGCUUUUAUAUAAACACGUUGGCACAAGAGUAUACAUUCACUUACUUUAUGUUCAAAUAAAAUGAUUAAAGAAACACAAGCUGAGUUCUAGCCUUAUUAAACUUCAGUAUU